rnacentral:rRNA from 1 species
UACGGGGGGGGCAAGCGUUGUUCGGAAUUACUGGGCGUAAAGGGUUUGUAGGUGGCCAACUAAGUCGGACGUGAAAUCCCUCAGCUUAACUGGGGAACUGCGUCUGAUACUGGUUGGCUUGAGUGCAGGAGAGGAACGCGGAAUUCCAGGUGUAGCGGUGAAAUGCGUAGAUAUCUGGAGGAACACCGGUGGCGAAGGCGGCGUUCUGGACUGCAACUGACACUGAGAAACGAAAGCCAGGGUAGCAAACGGG